rnacentral:tRNA from 1 species
AAUAAAGUGCCUGAUUUAAAGGAUUAUUUUGAUAGAAUAAAUUAUGUUCUAAGAACCUUUAUUU